rnacentral:rRNA from 1 species
UACGUAGGCAGCAAGCGUUGUUCGGAGUUACUGGGCGUAAAGGGCGCGUAGGCGGCUCAUACAGUCAGAUGUGAAAUUCCUGGGCUUAACCUGGGGGCUGCAUUUGAUACGUGUGGGCUUGAGUGGGGAAGAGGGUCGUGGAAUUCCCAGUGUAGCGGUGAAAUGCGUAGAGAUCGGGAGGAACACCAGAGGCGAAGGCGGCGACCUGGACAGUUACUGACACUCAACUACGAAAGCGUGGGGAGCAAACAGG